rnacentral:rRNA from 1 species
UACGUAGGGGGCUAGCGUUGUCCGGAUUUAUUGGGCGUAAAGAGCGUGUAGGCGGCCAGGUAGGUCCGCUGUGAAAGUCCGAGGCUCAACCUCGGAAUGUCGGCGGAAACCCUCUGGCUAGAGUCCGGAAGAGGAGAGUGGAAUUCCCGGUGUAGCGGUGAAAUGCGCAGAUAUCGGGAAGAACGCCCGUGGCGAAGGCGGCUCUCUGGAACGGUACUGACGCUGAGACGCGAAAGCGUGGGGAGCGAACAGG